rnacentral:piRNA from 1 species
UAGCAAACACCAAAUUCGUCUCAGCAGCU